rnacentral:rRNA from 1 species
UAGGGAAUCUUCGGCAAUGGACGAAAGUCUGACCGAGCAACGCCGCGUGAGUGAAGAAGGUUUUCGGAUCGUAAAACUCUGUUGUUAGGGAAGAACAAGGACGUUAGUAACUGAACGUCCCCUGACGGUAUCUAACCAGAAAGCCACGGCUAACUACGUGCCAGCAGCCGCGGUAAUACGUAGGUGGCAAGCGUUGUCCGGAUUUAUUGGGCGUAAAGCGAGCGCAGGCGGUUUCUUAAGUCUGAUGUGAAAGCCCCCGGCUCAACCGGGGAGGGUCAUUGGAAACUGGGAGACUUGAGUGCAGAAGAGGAGAGUGGAAUUCCAUGUGUAGCGGUGAAAUGCGUAGAUAUAUGGAGGAACACCAGUGGCGAAGGCGGCUCUCUGGUCUGUAACUGACGCUGAGGCUCGAAAGCGUGGGGAGCAAACAGG